rnacentral:rRNA from 1 species
UACGUAGGGUGCAAGCGUUGUCCGGAAUUAUUGGGCGUAAAGAGCGUGUAGGCGGCUCGAUUAGUCCGCUGUGAAAGUCCAAGGCUCAACCUUGGAAUGCCGGUGGAUACUGUCGAGCUAGAGUCCGGAAGGGGCGAGUGGAACUCCUGGUGUAGCGGUGAAAUGCGCAGAUAUCAGGAAGAACACCAAUGGCGAAGGCAGCUCGCUGGGACGUGACUGACGCUGAGACGCGAAAGCGUGGGGAG